CGGUAAUUCCAGCUCCAAUAGCGUAUACUAAAGUUGUUGCAGUUAAAAAGCUCGUAGUUGGAUUUCUGCGGGGACGGAGCGGCCGGUCGCAACUUGCGACUCGAGCUAGCGCUUUCCCCGCAUCCUGCCGCGAACCGUGCUACCAUUAGCUUGGUGGCGCUGGGGAUCGGCUCGAUUACUUUGAGGAAAAUAGAGUGUUCAAAGCAGGCCACACGCCUUGAAUAAGUUAGCAUGGAAUAAUGACUAAGGACUUCGGUUCUAUUUUGUUGGUGUUCGGGACUGAAGUAAUGAUUGAUAGGGACAGUUGGGGCGGUCUGUAUUCCAAAGCGAGAGGUGAAAUUCUUAGACCUUCGGAAGACAAACAGCUGCGAAAGCGUUCUGCAAGGAUGUUCCCUUUGAUCAAGAACGAAAGUUGGGGGAUCGAAGACGAUCAGAUACCGUCGUAGUCUCAACUAUAAACUAUACCAGCUAGGGAUCGGUCAACGUUUAAUCAUUCGACUUGAUCGGCACCUUAUGAGAAAUCAAAGCAUCUGGGUUCCGGGGGGAGUAUGGUCGCAAGGCUGAAACUUAAAGGAAUUGACGGAAGGGCACCAUCAGCCGUGGAGCCUGUGGCUUAAUUUGACUCAACACGGGAAAACUUACCAGGUCCAGACAUAGUAAGGAUUGACAGAUUGAUAGCUCUUUCUUGAUUCUGUGGGUGGUGGUGCAUGGCCGUUCUUAGUUGGUGGAGUGAUUUGUCUGGUUAAUUCCGUUAACGAACGAGACCCCAGCCUGCUAAAUAGCGCGGCUGAGCUUUGCUCGGUGCGAGCUUCUUAGAGGGACUAUGAUGCGCGAUAGCACAUGGAAGUUUGGGGCAAUAACAGGUCUGUGAUGCCCUUAGAUGUUCUGGGCCGCACACGGGCUACACUGGCGCCUGCAACGAGCAUAUCAGCUGGCCCGAGAGGGUCUUGGCUAAUCUUUUGAACCGGCGCCGUGCUUGGGAUUGACCAUUGCAAUUGUUGGUCAUGCAACGAGGAAUGCCUUGUAAACGCGAGUCAUCAGCUCGCAUUGAAUACGUCCCUGCCCUUUGUACACACCGCCCGUCGCUCCUACCGAUGAAUGUUCCGAUGAAAUUUUCGGAGAGCGCCAGAGAACGGGGCUCUGCCUUGCAGAUCUGGAGGCUCAAAGUCACUUAAAUCUGAACAUUUCGAGGAAGGAGAAGUCGUAACAAGGUAGCCG
rnacentral:rRNA from 1 species